rnacentral:rRNA from 1 species
UACGUAGGGGGCAAGCGUUGUCCGGAAUUAUUGGGCGUAAAGCGCGCGCAGGCGGUCUGGAAAGUCAGGUGUGAAACCUCGGGGCUCACCCCCGAGCCUGCAUUUGAAACUUCCAGACUUGAGAGCAAGAGAGGGGAGUGGAAUUCCUAGUGUAGCGGUGAAAUGCGUAGAUAUUAGGAGGAACACCAGUGGCGAAGGCGACUCCCUGGCUUGUCACUGACGCUGAGGCGCGAAAGCGUGGGUAGCGAACAGG